GAAACUCAAGGUGUAAUUCACUGUCCCGCUCAAUUCCCGCAUGACGGGAUGGGCGGGAAGGAAAGUCCGAACUCCACAGGACAGAGCACCCUGCGAAAGCGGGGGUGCUGCCGGCGAAAGCCGGCGGUAACGGAUAGUGUCACAGAAAAGAUACCGUCCCGUUCUCUAUAGAAAUAUAGUGCGCGGGAUAAGGGUGAAAUGGCGUUCCGAUGCGCGUUCCAAUACUCGUCGGAAUUUCGCUGCGUUCUUCGGAGCGUAGCGGAAAGGUAAGAGCUCACCGCCCCGGCAGUAAUGCCGUGGCCGACAAACCCUGCUCGGAGCAAGACCAUGUAUGUCCUGUACGCCCGGCGAUCCAUCUCACGAUGGAGCGUUGAGCGAUGAGUCGUCCGCUCACUUCCGUACCGCCUCCGGCGGGAAAGAAAACAGGACGGGUAGGUCGCUAGCUUCCGUUCGCAAGAACGGAACAAGAUAAAUGAUUGCAGUCCGGCCCCUUGACCGGGUCCGGAUACAGAAUUCGGCUUACAGACGCGCGGUUUUUAU
rnacentral:RNase_P_RNA from 1 species